rnacentral:rRNA from 1 species
GACGAACGCUGGCGGCGUGCCUAAUACAUGCAAGUCGAGCGGACUUUCAAGAAGCUUGCUUUUUGAAAGUUAGCGGCGGACGGGUGAGUAACACGUGGGCAACCUGCCUGUAAGACGGGGAUAACUCCGGGGAACCGGGGCUAAUACCGGAUAAUAUCUUUCUUCGCAUGAAGGAAGGUUGAAAGGCGGCGCAAGCUGCCGCUUGCAGAUGGGCCCGCGGCGCAUUAGCUAGUUGGUGAGGUAACGGCUCACCAAGGCGACGAUGCGUAGCCGACCUGGGAGGGGGAUCGGCCACACUGGGACUGAGACACGGCCCAGACUCCUACGGGAGGCAGCAGUAGGGAAUCUUCCGCAAUGGACGAAAGUCUGACGGAGCAACGCCGCGUGAGCGAAGAAGGUCUUCGGAUCGUAAAGCUCUGUUGUCAGGGAAGAACAAGUACCGUUCGAAUAGGGCGGUACCUUGACGGUACCUGACCAGAAAGCCACGGCUAACUACGUGCCAGCAGCCGCCGUAA